rnacentral:rRNA from 1 species
CCUACGGGGGGCUGCAGUGGGGAAUAUUGGACAAUGGGGGGAACCCUGAUCCAGCAAUGCCGCGUGAGUGAUGAAGGCCUUAGGGUUGUAAAGCUCUUUUACCAGGGAUGAUAAUGACAGUACCUGGAGAAUAAGCUCCGGCUAACUCCGUGCCAGCAGCCGCGGUAAUACGGAGGGAGCUAGCGUUGUUCGGAAUUACUGGGCGUAAAGCGCACGUAGGCGGUUACUCAAGUCAGAGGUGAAAGCCCGGGGCUCAACCCCGGAACUGCCUUUGAAACUAGGUAACUAGAAUCCUGGAGAGGUGAGUGGAAUUCCGAGUGUAGAGGUGAAAUUCGUAGAUAUUCGGAAGAACACCAGUGGCGAAGGCGGCUCACUGGACAGGUAUUGACGCUGAGGUGCGAAAGCGUGGGGAGCAAACAGGAUUAGAUACCCGGGUAGUC